rnacentral:rRNA from 1 species
AGUGGCGGACGGGUGAGUAAUGCUUGGGAAUCUGGCUUAUGGAGGGGGAUAACUACGGGAAACUGUAGCUAAUACCGCGUAGUAUCGAGAGAUGAAAGACUGGGACCGCAAGGCCAGUUGCCAUAAGAUGAGCCCAAGUGGGAUUAGGUAGUUGGUGGGGUAAAGGCCUACCAAGCCGACGAUCUCUAGCUGGUCUGAGAGGAUGACCAGCCACACUGGAACUGAGACACGGUCCAGACUCCUACGGGAGGCAGCAGUGGGGAAUAUUGCACAAUGGGGGGAACCCUGAUGCAGCCAUGCCGCGUGAAUGAAGAAGGCCUUCGGGUUGUAAAGUUCUUUCGGUGAUGAGGAAGGGUGGUGUUUUAAUAGAACAUUACAUUGACGUUAGUCACAGAAGAAGCACCGGCUAACUCCGUGCCAGCAGCCGCGGUAAUACGGAGGGUGCGAGCGUUAAUCGGAAUGACUGGGCGUAAAGGGCACGCAGGCGGUGACUUAAGUGAGAUGUGAAAGCCCCGAGCUUAACUUGGGAAUUGCAUUUCAUACUGGGUUGCUAGAGUAUUUUAGGGAGGGGUAGAAUUCCACGUGUAGCGGUGAAAUGCGUAGAGAUGUGGAGGAAUACCGAAGGCGAAGGCAGCCCCUUGGGAAAAUACUGACGCUCAUGUGCGAAAGCGUGGGGAGCAAACAGGAUUAGAUACCC